GACGAACGCUGGCGGCGUGCUUAACACAUGCAAGUCGAACGGAAAGGCCCUGCUUUUGUGGGGUGCUCGAGUGGCGAACGGGUGAGUAACACGUGAGUAACCUGCCCUUGACUUUGGGAUAACUUCAGGGAACUGGGGCUAAUACCGGAUAGGAGCUCCUGCUGCGUGGUGGGGGUUGGAAAGUUUCGGCGGUUGGGGAUGGACUCGCGGCUUAUCAGCUUGUUGGUGGGGUAGUGGCUUACCAAGGCUUUGACGGGUAGCCGGCCUGAGAGGGUGACCGGCCACAUUGGGACUGAGAUACGGCCCAGACUCCUACGGGAGGCAGCAGUGGGGAAUAUUGCACAAUGGGCGGAAGCCUGAUGCAGCAACGCCGCGUGCGGGAUGACGGCCUUCGGGUUGUAAACCGCUUUCGCCUGUGACGAAGCGUGAGUGACGGUAAUGGGUAAAGAAGCACCGGCUAACUACGUG
rnacentral:rRNA from 1 species